UACAGAGGUCUCAAGCGUUUGUUCGGAUUCAUUGGGCGUAAAGGGUGCGUAGGCGGCGCGGUAAGUCGGGUGUGAAAUCUCGGAGCUUAACUCCGAAACUGCAUUCGAUACGGGCAGACUAGAGGUAGGCAGGGGAGGAGCGGAACUCCUGGUGUAGCGGUGGAAUGCGCAGAUAUCAGGAAGAACACCGGUGGCGAAGGCGGCUCUCUGGGCCUUACCUGACGCUGGAGGAGCGAAAGCGUGGGUAGCGAACAGG
rnacentral:rRNA from 1 species